rnacentral:lncRNA from 1 species
UCCUCCUUGCAUCACCACUUUUUCCCCCUGCUCGAUCGUUUCCAAAGGCUUUCUCAUCUUCAAAAAGUCUUCUUUGGUCACCUCUCCCAGCUACUGCCCCAUCAUCUGUCCCUCCAUAUUUUCAGUCCUUGCUGUGUUCACAUCCUCUCUUGACUCACACCACUCUGAUGAAAGUGCUCCUGGCAAGGUCCAUGGUAACUCCCAUGAUCCUGACUCUAGUGGUCACUUCUUCAUCUUCCUCACAGGAGCUCUUCAGUUUGGCACCGCUGAUCAUACCCUUUUCCUUGACGCUGUUUCUUCACUUGGCUUCCAGGGUGUGUAUUUCUGGCUUUCCAUCUGCCUAAUUGGCCAUUCCUUCUCGGCUUCUCAUCUCCCUGACCUCUAAACAUUAAAGGCCCUGGG